GCCAGACUCCUACGGGAGGCAGCAGUCGAGAAUCAUUCACAAUGGGGGAAACCCUGAUGGUGCGACGCCGCGUGAGGGAAGAAGGUUUUCGGAUUGUAAACCUCUGUGGACAGGGACGAUAAUGACGGUACCUGUCAAGAAAGCCACGGCUAACUACGUGCCAGCAGCCGCGGUAAUACGUAGGGGGCAAGCGUUAUCCGGAUUUACUGGGUGUAAAGGGAGCGUAGACGGCGAUACAAGUCUGAAGUGAAAGCCCGGGGCUCAACCCCGGGACUGCUUUGGAAACUGUGUUGCUGGAGUGCUGGAGAGGCAAGCGGAAUUCCUAGUGUAGCGGUGAAAUGCGUAGAUAUUAGGAAGAACACCAGUGGCGAAGGCGGCUUGCUGGACAGUAACUGACGUUGAGGCUCGAAAGCGUGGGGAGCAAACAGGAUUAGAUACCCGUGUAU
rnacentral:rRNA from 1 species